AUCCUUGUACGGCAGUUCUUCCUGGUUAUACGCGGUAGAAUUUUUGAAUUGCGCUAGUGUAGCCUACCUCGUAUCCCAACACCUCCACCCUCUCCACCGCCUUCUCCCUAGUGAGCGCCGUCAUCUCUCCCUCUCCCUCUCCCAUCCUUGCAUUCUUGUUCUUGAGGUUUCCAAGCCUAGGGUGUAGUGGAUUUGAUUGUUCUUGGGGUGUAGUUGACUCCUUGUUAGUUGAUUCCAA
rnacentral:lncRNA from 1 species